UACAGGGGGUGCAAACGUUGCUCGGAAUUAUUGGGCGUAAAGCGCACGUAGGCGGAUCGUUAAGUCGGGGGUGAAAUCCUGGAGCUCAACUCCAGAACUGCCUUCGAUACUGGCGAUCUUGAGUCCGGAAGAGGUGAGUGGAACUCCUAGUGUAGAGGUGGAAUUCGUAGAUAUUAGGAAGAACACCAGUGGCGAAGGCGGCUCACUGGUCCGGUACUGACGCUGAGGUGCGAAAGCGUGGGGAGCAAACAGG
rnacentral:rRNA from 1 species